rnacentral:snoRNA from 1 species
CCCAUCUCUGGGUUGCCCCUGGAGAGUUUCUAGUACUCUUACCAGUCUCAGCUUUGGGAGGGAGAGUCAAGCAGAGGCCUACACAUUCCAUUCCUAGCUUGGGCAGUGGCUAGUGAGUGGAAGGCAAUCUGCUACAAGU